rnacentral:rRNA from 1 species
UACGUAGGGGCCAAGCGUUGUCCGGAUUUAUUGGGCGUAAAGAGCUCGUAGGCGGUUCGGCAAGUCAGCUGUGAAAUCUCCACGCUCAACGUGGAGGGGUCAGCUGAUACUGCUGUGACUCGAGUCCGGUAGGGGAGUGUGGAAUUCCUGGUGUAGCGGUGAAAUGCGCAGAUAUCAGGAGGAACACCGAUGGCGAAGGCAGGUCUCUGGGCAUUAACUGACGCUGAGGAGCGAAAGCAUGGGGAGCGAACAGG